rnacentral:tRNA from 1 species
AGCACGGAUGGCCGAGUGGUCCAAGCGAUAGACUUUUACUCAAGGGGUCAGUGGUUUGAGCCCAUUUGAGUUA